rnacentral:rRNA from 1 species
CAGCCGCCACGGGAAUACAGAGGGUGCGAGCGUUAAUCGGAUUUACUGGGCGUAAAGCGUGCGUAGGCGGCUUCUUAAGUCGGAUGUGAAAUCCCUGAGCUUAACUUAGGAAUUGCAUUCGAUACUGGGAAGCUAGAGUAUGGGAGAGGAUGGUAGAAUUCCAGGUGUAGCGGUGAAAUGCGUAGAGAUCUGGAGGAAUACCGAUGGCGAAGGCAGCCAUCUGGCCUAAUACUGACGCUGAGGUACGAAAGCAUGGAGAGCAAACAGGAUUAGAUACCCCUGUAGUCCCUGUCUCUUAUAC